GUUUCCAUCUGGCCUUUGUGGGCAGAGACUAGAGCGAUGUUUGCACUUGGGUGAGCGCGGCUGGCCCCGGGCCAUUGUUAGGAGUCUUCAGUGCAGGGUGUCAGCCAGGAUGGAUCUGCGCUGCAUCCCUCUGUCCAGGGCCCGCCCCAGGAGCGCCCAGGGUGUGUGCAUCUGCAGACAGACAGGACACCGGGACCCCCAGAGAGAGUCUCCCAAGGUACCUCUUGGCCCAGUGUUCCUGGCCAGAGAAAGACUUGGCAACUGGAGGACGUGGGCCAACCCCUGACCAGAUGGGGACAGGAAGGCUGAAUAACUUGCCUGAAGUCGUGGUGGGUUGGUGGCAGUUCCAGGCUAGAAAGCAGAUCUGAGAAAAUAACCCAACCCUUCACCACCCUGAAACGCCUUUUCUGCUGCCUGCGGUGUGGAGGAUGUAGUCCAGGGCAUACAGAAUAAAAGACUGACUCAGGCAGCCCAAGCUUCCACAAACUACUUAGAAAGGAAUGAAAGUGAUCCUUAAAACUCGACAGUUGGAAAGACAUUCCCUGUGGGGAAGAGGCACUAGCUAGGGAAUCAAAAGACCGGAGAUUCAAUCUUGGCUCUGUUGCUCACAAGCAAUGCGACCUUGGAGACUGCUGCUGCUGCUCCUGGGACUCCACUUUGAGAAACACCACAUUAGAUCCUCUCUAAAUCCUUGCUGCUCAAUAUGUUGUGCCCAGAGCAGCAGCAUCUGGAAGCUUGUUAGAAACAUAAAAUCUUGGGGCCUACCCAGUCCUACUAAAUUUGAAUCUGCAUAAAAAUAAGAUUCCUAGGUGAUUCUUUUGCAUAUUAAAAUUUGAGAAGCAUGGCUCUAAAUUCACUUUAUGAUUUUAUAGAAAAGAUAAAUAUUCUGUCUCUUCUUCUUUCCACACACACAUGCACCCACCCACCCACCCACCCACCUAUAUAUAGACACAGAGAAAAAUCUAUCUCGUCUUAAUUUGCAAGGCAGAUUGUGGUUUUCCUAAUGCUUUCAAACUCUGCAUACAUAUAUGUGUAUGUAACCACUUAAUAGAGAAUAUAGCUUGAUGUAUGAGUUCUUAUGCAAAGGAUCAGAGGAGCAGGAUUAGGUUCUUAGCAAUCAAAGAAAUCUUGGUGGCCUGGUCUAGCAUCUACAAAUGGAAAACUCAAAGUUGGAUGGAGGAAGGGACUAUACGCAGUAGAGUCUUAUUUCAGUCCUUAUAAUAUGCAAAGUUGCCAACGCCCGAAGGCUUUCAGAAGGACACCCUGGACUUUCUAUUGUGUAUUUUUGGAGGUAAAAUAUGAAUAACUUUAGGUUGUGGGCAUAACAGAAAUAACCUAAACCAGCAAUUAAAGGCACAAUACCACCAUAGACUUGGGUGGGCUAGAGGCAGAUUCCUGGUUAUCUGCUUGGGGUGGAAGCCAUUAAAAAAAAAUAGCAUCCAAGGUAAAACUAUAAUGUUUCCAGUUUUCAAGACAAACUUACUCCUACACUCUUGUUAUAGAUUGUUGUUUAGGUUAUUCAAAUUUAGAAUGGUAAGAUUUUAUGAUGGCAGUUUAUGAAGAGCCUGUACAAUUUUACACACACACACACACACACACACACACACACACACACACUGUCUCUCUCUCUCUCUCUCUCUCUGUUAAAUAAAUUAUGUGAUCCUCCUUUGCUUCAUGGGUCAUGAUUUUCUCUCCCCCACAGCAUUCUGAUUUACACUCUCUCUAGAAUACAGUAGGGCCUCCUGUGGAGGAAGACAGCAGAUAACAGCCCAUCUCAGUGGGUCAUGCCUGUAAUCCCAGCACUUUGGGAGGCCUCAGCCAGUGGAUCACUUGCGUUCAGGAGUUCGAGACCAGCCUGGGCAACACAGCAAGACCCCAUCUUUUAAAGAUAAAAAAAAUUGGUUGACCAUGGUGGCUGUGAACCUGUAGUCCCAGGGAGGCUGAGGCGGGAGGAUGGCUUGAGCCCAGGGCAGUGAGCCGUGAUUGCUGCCACUGCACUCCAGCCUAGGUAACACAGUGAGACCCUGUCUCAAUGAAAGAAAAGAAAAAAAAGAUUAGAUAAGAGCAUCUUUGCUCAUUACGCAAACCUAGGAGUGACUGUUUUAUAGGUAGAAGAUGCUGUGUGAGGCUAAGGUGAG
rnacentral:lncRNA from 10 species